rfam:Myotis lucifugus cont2.23583, whole genome shotgun sequence.
GGUGGUUCUCAGGUGAUGCACCCCGGAAUCUGACUCCCUCCUUUCUCGUUCCGGAUGCAUCACCCGAGAAUCACA